GGAUUGGAGUCUGCAACUCGACUCCAUGAAGGAUUGGAGUCUGCAACUCGACUCCAUGAAGUCGGAAUCGCUAGUAAUCGUGGAUCAGAAUGCCACGGUGAAUACGUUCCCGGGCCUUGUACACACCGCCCGUCACACCAUGGGAGUGGGUUGCAAAAGAAGUAGGUAGCUUAACCUUCGGGAGGGCGCUUACCACUUUGUGAUUCAUGACUGGGGUGAAGUCGUAACAAGGUAACCGUAGGGGAACCUGCGGUUGGAUCACCUCCUUA
rnacentral:rRNA from 1 species